CACAGAUGUGUUUCCUUUUUAAGGACACUUAAUGGACUAAAAACAAGGACAUUAUAGAAAUUUGGUUUGAUUGUUGUAUGCACUUGAACCUCAAACUUAAAAUUGUUGUUGUAAAACUAUCAGCAUUACAAAAGCAAUAGAAAUUUUGGGAAAUAAUUUGGAAAAUAAAAUGUAUUUUUUAAAAAAUCUGCAGCUGAAACGAGAAUCUUCAUCUCCAAAAGUAAAGAGGGAAAUGCUUUUGGAAGAAGAAAAGUCUACUGAUUUUGUGUUUAUACCUCCAGAAGGAAAAGAAUUAAAGGAAAGAAUACUAACUGAACACCAAAAAGAAGUACUCAAGACAAAGCGGUGUGAUAUUCCUGCCAUGUAUAAUAAUCUGGAUGUUUCACAAGAUACCUUAUUUUCUGAUCACUAUAGUCAAGAAGAGUCUGUGUAAGUGUUGAAGCCAUCAAACUUAAAACUAGUUUUCUAAUUUUUUUAAAUAACUAUAAGUAAUCUAAUUUAUUCCAUUAUUUAUCUCAGGCAAACUCCUACUUUAACUGAAAAACCAAAGGAAGAUACCAAGAUGGUGAUUAAGGAGGAACAAAUGAAGAGUGAUACUGUUAUUCAAGAUGCCUUGGAAAACUGUGGUAUGGAUGAACAUAUCGAAAAGCCUUCUUUUUCAAAUAAUGAGUGUGGUUUUGUUCCCAAAACCAAUCCAGAAAUACUGAGCAGUAAUAACAAAGCCAGAAAAAACACUUUAAUUUCAUCAAAGAAAACUUCAACUGAAUGUACAUCUAGUGCAGAAAAUUCAUUACCCAGCAGUCGAUCAGUUUCUGAUGCCAGUAUUUCUGGAACUCACCCACAGCCUACAAGUCGGAGGCAAAGCUUUAUUACCUUGGAGAAGUUUGAUGGUUCAGAUAAUAGACCUUUCAGCCCAUCCUCCUUGGGUAAUAUGUCUUCAGAUAUUUCAGUGCAAAAUAACUGUGAAAAUGUGACUACAACAGAUAGUACACCAAAAACAAAGAAGAGAGAAGUGAUGCAUUCAAAAUCUGAUUCUGAAAAAAUACUGAAUGGAGUUAAGCGAUCAAGCAGAAGAUUGAGUAAAGCUGAGAGGGCAGCAAAUAAAAGAUCAAAACCCUUGAUAAAAUCUGAACAGGAGGAAAAUAAUCAAGAACCUGUUGAAGGGACAAUAGCUUUAGAAAAUAUUAACUCACCUGAUUUGCAUAAUCAAACAGAAUGUUUGUCAGAUGGUCAGGUUCAUUUUUCUGAAUCUGUUGGGGAGCAUGAAGAUAAGCCUAAACCAACAGUAGAAAAUGCUGUGUUAUUGGAAACCAGUACUGUCCAAGAGAAAAACAUGGGGGUUAAUUUAGAAUCCAAAGAAAAUACACCUCCAGCAGUGACUCCAGCAGAUGAAGUGGUUAAUGAAGAAAGUCAAGUUCAGGUAACUCCAAAUCAAAAAACCCUGAGACGGUCUUCAAGGCGACGUUCAGAAAUAACAGACUGUAUUGGUGAUAACCAAGAUAAAGAAAAUAGUCAUCAAAAAAGGGAAAGACGUAAGGAAGAGGAAAAACCUCAGAGUUUAUUGCAUGUGUCACCUAAGCAGAAACUGACUUCUGAACAAACAGAACAGGACAAAUUACUUGAGAAAGAAAAUAAUUUACAUGAGAAGGCUUCUGGUGAAACCAGUGCUAAUGCUGACAUUGACCAAAAUAAAAGAAAACCAGACCUUGAAAAUGUUAAUUCUGAGGGUGAUAGUGCCCUGGACAUUGUAGAUAAGUCCUCUGAGAAACCUUUAAGAGGCCGAACACGUUAUCAAACAAGAAGAGCAUCUCAGGGUUUACUUUCCAGCAUUGAAAAUUCAGAAUCUGAUAGUUCUGAGGCAAAAGAAGAAGGUUCUAGGAAGAAGAGAUCUGGAAAAUUGAAAAACAAAAACAAUGACAGUGUUAAUAUUGAAGAACAAGAAAAAAUGGUAGAAAAGGAAUCUCUAAAUGUAGAGAAUCACACACAGGAUCAUAAAGCAACUUCUGAAGUAGAUGUAGACAAAAAGCCUCCGGUUUGUGAAAAAGAUGCAAGUAGUCCUGAAAUACUUCAGGAUUCUACAGCAGCUACAGAUACUUUACAAGUUUCUGAUGUUGUGCCAAAUACAUAUGAGGGAAACGCUAAGACUAGCAAAUGUGCAGAGUAUACCUUUGCAAGUUCACCUAUGCCAGAAUCAAAUUUAAGGACUAGAAAUGCAAGUAAGAGAUUGCUUAAGCGAGAUUCUGGUAACAGUGUGGGAGAAUGUUCCAAAACUAGGACAUCAGAAAUUUCUGUGCUUUCUGAAAAAAAUGUGCAGACAUUUGAAUGCCAGCAUAAGAGAAGUCGGAGGGUGAGGCGAUCUAAAGGUUGUGACUGCUGUGGGGAAAAAUCUCAACUUCAGGAAAAGUCAUCCAUUGGGUUAAAGAACACAGAAAAUUUUGACAUAAAGAGUAACGAAACAAAAAAGACAGAUGUGCAAACACCUGACACAGUAUUAGAAACAGAUUCUAAAGCUAAUUUGUGUUCUGAAGCAAAAUUUUUAGAUGAAUGUGGAAGUGUGAAUUUUAAUUUGGUUCUUAAGGGGAAUGAUACUAUUAAUGACUUUGUACCUGAAAUAGAGUCAAAAGAAAAUACUAUUCAAAAAUCUUCUGAAAUAGUAAAUUUGAAAGAAAAAGCUUGUGAUGUGGAUUCUGGUGAAGUGUCUCUUGAAAGUGAAGAGCCAACAAAUAAGAAAUUUAAAGCAGUGGGCCCAUGUUUAGGUGAUUGUAAGGACAUUUCAGAAGAAUAUCAUUUGGACACCAAGGAAGAAAAGCCAGAAACAACCCUCAAAAAAGAACUUACUGUUGUUAAUAUUGAAGGAAAUGCAUGUCAAGUGAUAGGAGAAUCCAAUCUAGAGGGAGUAAAAGCUAUGGAAUUAGAUGUAGAAAACAAUAAAUCUGAAGCUAGUGUUUCUGAAAAAGAGUAUGUCGAAACUGAUACUUCUAAAGUGGCAACAGAGGAAUGUAAGAGUAGUGAUGACCCUAACACAGAAACAGCUGACAAAGUAGAUGUUGAAGCAGCAGCUGAGGAAUUUUAUUCAGGUGUUAGUCUUUGUGAUAACACCACACUUAUAAAUGUGAAUACUCAGACUCAGAUUUCUGAACAAAUAGGCAGGGAGGCAGGUGACAGAAGUAAUGAGUCAGAUUUAGGCACAUCUGAAGAAAUGAAUGCUAAAAUGGAAAACUAUGAAGAAACGCUGAUUGGUCACAUGAAUAAUGAAAUUGCCAGUGUCAAAGAAUCAGAGGAUGAGGACAUGACUCCUAAAACUAAGUCAGAAGAAACCAAAACAGAACAGUUGAGUGCAGAACUUGACAGUUUUGUUCUUGACAAACUUGAAAUGACUAACAAGGAAGAAAAGGUUGACUCUAAUAAAACUGAAACAAAUACUGAAUUUAGUAAGUCUGAAGAAGCAAAUUUAGAUGACAAUCAAAUGGUAGUGGGAAAUGACAUUUUACUGGAAGUUAAUCAUACUCCACAUAAAGUGGAGGAACCAUCACAGUCUUUGACAUCUGAAACAACUAUCUCUGAGCUAGUAACAGAGGACAAUAAUUCAUCUCCUGAAAAAUUACGAGAACUUGAUUCUUUAUUCAUGUCAGCAAGUGAUAGUCCUAGUGGCAUACAGACACGCUGUGUCUGGUCUCCUUUGGCUUCUCCAUCUACCAGCAUUUUAAAGAGAGGACUAAAACGACUCCAAGAAGAUGAGAUCUCAUCACCUGUUAACAAGGUUCGUCGUGUCUCAUUUGCAGAUCCAAUAUACCAAGCAGGAUUGGCAGAUGACAUUGAUAGGCGAUGUUCUCUUGUGAGGUCUCAUUCUUCAAAUAGUUCUCCUGUAAUUAAAAGUGUUAAAACUUCACCUACUACACAAACUAAGGUAAGCUCUAGGCUCUAA
rnacentral:lncRNA from 1 species